ensembl:lncRNA
GUAAAUAACAGCUUCUGAUUGGCUGUUGGCGCGGCGACCGCGCCCUGUUUGUGAUUGGCUGCGCGCCCGAGCUCUUCCCGGCCUCUGACUGGUUGAUUCGCGCUGAGUGGAGGCCACGCCCCCUGGCAACGGCGCCAUAGCAACGGCGGGGGGAGUCACGUGACCGCGGUCCGCGCGCGCGAGGGGAAAUUUGGGGGGUCCGGGGGGGAAAUUGGGGGGGGGGGCGGAGAUUUGGGGGGUCCGGGACCACAUUGAGGAAUUCUGGGGGGUACGGGGAGGGGGAGGUGGGAAUUGGGGGGAUUUGGGGGGUUUGGGGGAAUUUGGGGGGUCUGGGACGGGAUUUUGGGGGUCUGGGAUGGAAUUUUGGGGGGCUGGGAUGGGAUUUGGGGUCUGGGAUGGGAUUUGGGGGGUCCGGGCAGGAUUUGGGGGGUCUGGGAUGGGAUUUGGUGGGUCCUGGAUGGGAUUUGGGGGGGUCUGGGAUGGAAUUUUGGGGGGAUUUGGGGGUCUGGGAUGGAAUUUUGGGGGUCUGCGAUGGGAUUUUGGGGGUCUGGGAUGUGAUUUUGGGGGGGGAUUUGGGGGUCCGGGCAGGAUUUUGGGGGCUCCGGGCAGGAUUUUGGGGGUCUGGGAUGGGAUUUUGGGGGGUCCGGGCAGGAUUUGGGGGUCUGGGAUGGGAUUUGGGGGGGGAUUUGGGGGUCUCAGUGCCCCCCACCCCAGAUGGACGGGGCCCAGCGCCGGUUGGAGCUGCUCGAGGAUCAACGGCAGAGGGCCGCGGCGGCUCUCGGGGGGUCUCUGGGGGUCCUGCCCCACCUGCGCCGGGAGUUGGAGCAGCUGCGGGCGGAGCGGCGGCGGCUGCAGCGAAUCCUGGGGGGGCGGCUGCGGGUGAGAGACCCCCAAAAACAGCCCUGAACCCCAAAAAAACACCCCAAAAAACACCCCUGAACCCCCAAAAACAGCCCGGACACCCCCAAAAAUUCUCCCUGAACCCCCAAAAACACCCCGGACACUCCCCAAAACACCCCUGAACCACCAAAAAACCACCCCUGAACCCCAAAAAAACCAGCCCGGAGACCCACAAAAAUACUCCCCGGACACCCCAAAAAACAACCCGGCCACCCCCAAAAACACCCCUGAACCCCAAAAACACACCUAAACCCCCAAAACCAGCUCUGAACCCCAAAAAUUCUCCCUGAACCCCCAAAACCACCCCAGACACCCCAAAAACAACCCCGGACACCCCAAAAUCAUCCUGAACCCCCAAAAACACCCGGGACACCCCAAAAACACCCCAGAAACCCCCCAAAACAACCCAGACACCCCAAAAACACCCCGGACACCCCAAAAUCAUCCUGAACCCCCAAAAACAGCCCGGACACCCCAAAAACUUCCCGGACACCCCCAAAAACACCCCGGAAACCACCAAAAACACCCCUGAACCCCCAAAAAACUCCCCGGACACCCCCAAAAACAACCCGGACACCCCAAAAAUAUCCUGAACCCCCAAAAACACCCCGGACACACCAAAAAUUGUCCCUGAAGCCCCAAAAACACCCCGGAGACCCCAAAAAUUCCCCCUGAAUCCCCAAAAACAACCCGGACACCCCCAAAAUCAUCCUGAGCCCCCCAAAAAAUGCCACAACCCCCAAAAUUCUCCUGAACCUCCAAAAAUCCCCCGGACACCCCAAAAAUGCUCGUGAGCCCCCCAAAAAUCCUCCUGAACCCUGGGGGUGGAGCCUGGGGUGAUGGAGGGCUCUGAUUGGCUGGGGAGGUGGUGGAUCCCGGAGGGCUCUGAUUGGCUGGGGAGGGGGUGGAUCCCGGACAGCUCUGAUUGGCUGGGGUGGAUCCCGGAGGGCUCUGAUUGGCCGGGGGUGGAUCCCGGAGGGCUCUGAUUGGCUGGGGAGGUGGUGGAUCCUGGAGGGCUCUGAUUGGCUGUGGGUGGAUCCUGGAUGGCUCUGAUUGGCUGAGGGUGGAUCCUGCCGGGCUCUGAUUGGCUGGGGAGGUGGUGGAUCCCUGAGGGCUCUGAUUGGCUGGGGGAGGAUCCCGGAGGGCUCUGAUUGGCUGUGGGUGGAUCCUGGAGGGCUCUGAUUGGCUGGGGAUGGAUCCCAGAGGGCUCUGAUUGGCUGGGUGGCUGGGGUGGAUCCUGCCGGGCUCUGAUUGGCUGGGGGUGGAUCCUGCCGGGCUCUGAUUGGCCGGGGGGAGGAUCCUGGAGGGCUCUGAUUGGCUGGGGUGGAUCCCGGAGGGCUCUGAUUGGCUGGGGGUGGAUCCCGGAGGGCUCUGAUUGGCUGGGGAGGUGGUGGAUCCCGGAGGGCUCUGAUUGGCUGUGGGUGGAUCCCGGAGGGCUCUGAUUGGCUGGGGGUGGAUCCCGGAGGGCUCUGAUUGGCUGGGGAGGUGGUGGAUCCCGGAGGGCUCUGAUUGGCUGUGGGUGGAUCCCGGAGGGCUCUGAUUGGCUGCAGGAGCUGGAGGAGACCCAACGGGAGAUCGAGGCGGAGCUGCAGAGAGCGGCGACGGCCCCGAGGGACGGGUGGGGACCCCAAAAACACCCGAACCCCAAAAAAACCCCCCAGAACACCUCAAAAAACUUCCGAAACACCCCUGAUACCCCAAAACCCCCCCCUGAACCCCAAAACCCCCCUGGAGCCCCCCAAACCCCCCUGAACCCCAAAAACUCCCCUGGAACAGCCCAAAACCCUCCCUGGACCCCAAAACCCCCCCUGGAACCCCAAAAAACCCCUGAAACCCCAAAGACCCCUGGAACCCCCAAAACCCCCCUGGAACCCCCAAACCCGACAGCCCCGGGACCCCCUG